GUGCUUUCUUGAGCAGCAUGUAUACUAAAAAUUAGAAUGGUACAGAGAGAAUUAGCAUGGCCUCUGAACAAGGAUGAAUACAAAUUUGUGAAGCAUUUUCAUAGUUUU